UGACUUCCACGGUAUAAAUACUCACCAUGGCCAAUAUCAAGCCCCAGUGUGAUGUCAUGGAGUUCUGACCUGAGAGGAGGUGGGCACAAUCAGUUUCUCUGAGCCUGUCAACCUGGCUCAGUCACACCCCCACCCCAGGGACCAUGGGUAAAAUGUUGAUGUGGACUUCUGGGAUCAAACAAAGCUCUUGGUCUCCUGGAUCAACACUCAGAGACAAAGAUUCCUUAGCCUUUAGAGAUGAAGUCAGAGUGAAUCGGGCCAGAGGGGCAAUCUGCUAGGCAGGCAUGGGAUGUGCUUUCUAUAGCACCAGGAGGUCCAUAAGAAUUAAAAGGUAUAUUGGCACUUAAUCAAUGGGAGGUGCUUAAUAUGUUAAUAAUUAACUACUAUUAAAUUAUUAUUAUGAGGUCAUUAUAACAGAAUUUUGCAUUUGCAUGAAACCUUCCCAUCAACUACAAUUGCAAAGCUUUAGGAUAUUCCAGCCUUCAGGAUUAGCUAGAAAGGAUCUACCCUCACAGAACAGUUGACAAAACUGAGGCGCAGAGAAGUGACUCGGCUUAAGUAUGUGCAGCAGAGCCAGCCUGGAACCCAGGCCAUCUGAACCAAGGCUUGGGAACUGCAAAGCCAACUUUCCGGGAGUGAGUUUGAUCCAGGAAGGGAGCCAGUCGAUGUAUGAGAUUGGAAGAAUCAAGAGAACAGAGAAGCAGGUAAGGGUCUGUGAUUGGAAAAGCAUGUGCUGGAGAGUGGCACGAUCCAGUGUGCCAGCUGGCUCACUAGCACGGAAGCACCCAGCAGCACUCAACUAACAUUUGUUGAUAGAAAGUUCUCUCCUACAUGGUCCACCAUGCAAAUACAACAUCCUCUUUCUCAUUUCCUGGCACAUGCUUUCCCUUUAGCCCCAAAUCCCUCCCUCGCCCCCACCAUCCCCCCAAAACCUGGAUAUAUUCUACUCAUCUUUCAGAUUUCUGUAGGAUUGUUGCGUUCCCAGGGAGAGGCCUUCUCUAGGUGAGGCAUCCCUCCUCCAUGCUCUCCUCAAUGUCUCUCUUGUCUGUACCCCCACCUACUCAUUUUACUGGCUCUCCCUCCAGCUGAGACUGUUAGGAGGGCAUGGCCACACCUCACUGUUAGCCAUUGUAUCUCCAAGGCUAGGCCAGGCUGUCCACACCAUACCAGGGACCCUAAAAAAGUCACAGAACCAGAAGCAGGCCUUGGAAGGUAUAGGUCAAAGAACAGUUACCUGAGAACUGGGGAGGCUUCAGAAUCAAGCCCCCACGGCAGGCUCCCACCUCUGGGGGAGACCCAGCCAAGUGCCCAAAUGCCUCUGUUCCUGGGGGAAUCCUGUCUUCCAGCAGGGUUUGCUAACCACUUACAAUCCCAUGGCCAUUUCCUCUGGCAACUUCCCCUUGUUCAGGUGCUAGGGGUUGGACUGGGGAUUUGUUUUUUUCUAUUUCUUUCUCACUUUCCACCUUGAGUUUUCUGUUUCCAAAUGUCAUUCUUGGCUUAUAUCUAAGCACAGCUCUCUAGCCACCUCCCUCCACAGCGCACCCCCCUCAGGAGCACACAGGACCAGGCCACACCUGCGGCACCAAAUGAAAGCUCCGCUUUGAUCACCAGGCCCCCUUGCCUCUGAUCGCUUCAUAUCCUAUUAAGGCCCAAAGCAGUUCGAGCCGUUUCCUCAAAAGCCACACAAAUUAUUCCAAACAACAAUACGGGAGGAAUAAAAGCAGCUAAACUGCAAAAAAAUUAUCUGGU
rnacentral:lncRNA from 12 species